rnacentral:rRNA from 1 species
GCCACUGCUAUUGGGGUUCGGCUAAGCCAUGCGAGUGGAGGGCGUCCCGCAAGGGAUGGCCCCGCAGACGGCUCAGUAACACGUCGUCAACCCACCUUAGGGUGGGGGACAACCUCGGGAAACUGAGGAUAAUCCCCCAUAGGCGGGGGAGGCUGGAAUGCGCCCCCGCUGAAAGCUCAGGCGCCCUAGGACGGGAUGGCGGCCUAUCAGGUAGUUGGUGGUGUGACG